rnacentral:SRP_RNA from 1 species
GCCGGGCGCGGUGGCGCGCGCCUGUAGUCCCAGCUACUCGGGAGGCUGAGGCUGGAGGAUCGCUUGAGCUCAGGAGUUCUGGGCUGCAGUGCGCUAUGCCGAUCGGGUGUCCGCACUAAGUUCGGCAUCAAUAUGGUGACCUCCCGGGAGCGGGGGACCACCAGGUUGCCUAAGGAGGGGUGAACCGGCCCAGGUCGGAAACGGAGCAGGUCAAAACUCCCGUGCUGAUCAGUAGUGGGAUCGCGCCUGUGAAUAGCCACUGUACUCCAGCCUGGGCAACAUAGCGAGACCCCGUCUCUUU